UGAAGGCAAACCUGGCCGCUUCCACAGAUGCCUGAGGGGCUGGCAAGGGGAGACACCCAGCUCUGUGCUGUCUCCACAUGGUCCAGAGGACAGAGCUACACAGAGUAGAGAAAAGCCAGAAGGACCAAUUAAUUAAUGUUCAGGGGAAUGCUGCCAGCAGAGGGAAUACCGCAGCCCUGAAAGUGCUAGAAUACAGGGUCUGUGCAGCCUCCUCCUGGUACCCAUCCACCCAGCCAUGAUGAGGGAAGAACAAGCAGCCUGGAUCUGCAGAGGUGCAAGAGUCAGCAGGCUUCCCACCUGCAGAGGCCAUCAGUGUCUGCUGGGAAGCAGGCUCAGUGUUAUUUCCAGUGGAGUUGCUCUCUAUUCGUCAUGCCAAUAACAGCAAGGGUGACUGCCCCUCAUCUUCUAACGGUCCGCAGCUAAACUCUUCGGCAGGAAGGGCUUCACUCUCCCCAUCACAGAAAGAGAAACCGAGGCUCAGAGAGCUGAAGGGACAUGUGCUGCA